rnacentral:piRNA from 1 species
UGGGAACUGUGGUGACGGCCUUC